rnacentral:lncRNA from 1 species
UGAUGGAAAAAUAUUACAGGUACACAUGGAAAAGACAUGAUCACCAAGUGAAAACAAUCUAACCAGAAAGCUUUAACGUCUGUCAGUUAAGCUGAAGCUGAAAUUCUGGGAGCAUGACAUGCUGCAGGGCCAAAAGGAAUGGAUAAUUAGUAUUCCUCUCCUUCUUCCUCACCCUCUCCUUCAACAGAAUCCACACCAACCUCCUCAUAAUCCUUCUCAAGGGCAGCCAUAUCUUCACGGGCCUCUGAAAACUCGCCUUCCUCCAUCCCCUCACCCACGUACCAGUGAACAAAGGCACGCUUGGCAUACAUCAGGUCAAACUUGUGGUCCAGGCGAGCCCAGGCCUCAGCAAUGGCUGUGGUGUUGCUCAGCAUGCACACAGCUCUCUGUACCUUGGCCAGGUCUCCACCAGGCACCACAGUGGGAGGCUGGUAGUUGAUGCCAACCUUGAAGCCAGUGGGGCACCAAUCCACAAACUGGAUGCUGCGCUUGGUUUUGAUGGUGGCAAUGGCAGCAUUGACAUCUUUGGGAACCACGUCACCACGGUACAACAGGCAGCAAGCCAUGUAUUUACCAUGGCGAGGGUCACAUUUCACCAUCUGGUUGGCUGGCUCAAAGCAAGCAUUGGUGAUCUCUGCUACAGAAAGCUGUUCAUGGUAGGCUUUCUCAGCAGAGAUGACAGGGGCAUAUGUGGCCAGAGGGAAGUGGAUGCGGGGGUAGGGCACCAGGUUGGUCUGGAAUUCUGUCAGGUCAACAUUCAGGGCUCCAUCAAAUCUCAGGGAAGCAGUGAUGGAGGACACAAUUUGACCUAUUAACCUAUUCAGGUUAGUAUAGGUUGGACGCUCAAUAUCGAGGUUUCUACGACAGAUGUCAUAGAUGGCCUCAUUGUCUACCAUGAAGGCACAAUCAGAGUGCUCCAGGGUGGUGUGGGUGGUGAGGAUGGAGUUGUAGGGCUCAACUACAGCUGUGGAAACCUGGGGCGCCGGGUAAAUAGAGAACUCCAGCUUGGACUUCUUGCCAUAAUCAACUGAGAGACGUUCCAUGAGCAGCGAG